GUGGGCUGGCAGAAGAGGUGGACGACAAAGUUCUUCAUGCGGCUUUUAUCCCUUUUGGAGACAUCACAGAUAUUCAGAUUCCUCUGGAUUAUGAAACAGAAAAACACCGAGGAUUUGCUUUUGUGGAGUUUGAGUUGGCAGAGGAUGCUGCAGCAGCUAUCGACAACAUGGUAUGGCUGGGAGUCCACAUUCUAACCGAAGGUGCCUUUUGCUGGUUCAGAGGGUCCUUGUUCAGACACUGGUAUUCUGAAUCUCUGAGGUGUCAGGGUUGGGUGGGAAGGUAAAGAUUGCCAUCAAGUAAGAGUAGCCAUUGUGGACCGAUCACUGGUAAAAUUAGUUCCUGCCCAGGCGCCUCUCCAUUUACUAGGGUACUUCCUGCUCAUCCUCCUGGCUUGUCUUUCACUGGCCGCCCUACGUGAUGGCAAGUGGCAAAUACAGUCCCAACUGAAUUGCUCACUGAAACAGCAAAUAUAUGCAAAGGGGAAAGGUUUCGUGCAAUGUUAGAUCAUUAGAUAACAAUUAGUUGUUAUUAUUAUUAUCAGUUAAUUAGUUAUUAGUUAUUAUUAGUUAACAAUAGAGAGGGGAGAUUCAGGAAGAGUUAACCAAAGGCCAUACUAUUGACUCGGAAGGAAACAGCUGGGAGAAUCCUUGGAAAUGCCGGCGCUCUUAAAGAUGUGCGACCUAAGACACCUGUGCGUUGUUGUGUCAGAUGAAAUUCAGAGGCGUCACAUC
rnacentral:lncRNA from 1 species